AAAUGUUACAACUCUUUUAGAAUUUGUCUAGCAGGAUUUUUGGUCUUCGUGGAAAAAACCCCAA
ensembl:snRNA U7 U7 small nuclear RNA